UGGAAAAAACCCCUGUUGUAGCCCCCUUGUUGAGGGGGGCAUAUAUAAGUGGGCCUCAACAACCACUUAGUCAACACGGGUCAAAAAAUUUACUAACAGGUUGGGGCGGGCUUUUUUAGAGUUCGCUUCAAUAGAACUUGUUGGAGGGGGCUUUAUAUUGCCCGCCUCAAUAGAUACUAGUCUAAAGGGGCGGGCUUUGUUUUGUUCGCUUCAACCGAUAUUCACGAAAUUUAAAACAAUAAAAACAUAGCUUCUCAUCGCCAAACCGAUAAAACAAUCCCUUCAAAUCUCUAUAUUCAAACAAAGCAAGUACGCUUCUAGUGCAAUCUGCAGGCGAGUUCGCACCGCUCCUCACCGCGCGCCUCCACCACCACCACCACCUUCCUCGCCUCCUCUUCCAUAGUAGUCGCCCCCGACCGUCGUCUUCCCUAUCUCGGUUGACUCUGUUUCACACAGUGACGCAAUCUGUCAAGUUUUUGGCUAUGAGCCUCAUUCGGUGUUGCCAAUUGGUGUUGUUUCUCUUGCUGAUCUUACAGUUUUUCUUCCUUUCUCGAAAAUUAACGUCUUUGCUAGUACUGUUAUAUUCUACACUCCUUUUUUGAGGCAUAUAUGGACAUGGUUGGGUCUAUCUCCAGCAACUAGAAAGAAUUUUAAAUCUCGUCUGGCUUCAGGUUACAGUUGUAUCAUAGUGCCUGGUGGAGUACAAGAGACGUUCCAUAUGGAGCAUGGCUCUGAGCUUGUUUUGAGUACUGGAAGCGGUGUUAAUGGUUUCACUCUAGAUCCAUCUCUUGGAGUGUAUAUUUUAACUCAUCCAGACAUCAAGGUCAUAAAUCUCAUUGAAAUUGCUGUCAUUUUCCAUGCUUAACAGUAGAACACGUACACGUAUCCGAUGUCGAACUAUUGGACAUUGGUCUGCAGGAUUACUGUAUUCAGCUAGCUAAGUGCAGAAUCCAUCUAGAGUAGUUUAUUAGACUAGAAACUAAUGUUGGAACUUAUCUCUGAAAACAACAUUCUCCUAACAGUACACUCUGAUUAGUUGUUUAAUACAAAUUAGUAUUCUGAUUAGCUGUCAGUACACUCUCACUUUGUAAUCAAAUAUACAUUUAUAUAAAGAUUAGUAUUCUCAUACUCUUCCAAUAAUUUGGAUUAGGUAUGAAGACAGUUUCCGCCAAAAUCAUUGAUCUACUGAUCAUGUAUGUUUCUGAAUAACUAAUUGUGUUCAGAUUUUUUAUCUAAUACUGACAGCGAUUUCACAGCACAGUCAGUCCAAGGAAGUAUGAGAAACUUCGGGUUUCAUAUAUAUCAUCAUCAAAUUUUGGUUGAUAGAUUAUCUGUUAGUCACUUUAAGUUUUCUGAAUGUACGAACCUCGAAUGAAUGAGACCUUUAAACGUAAUAGUAUCAGGAAGCUAGCAGUAUUAUUUGUUUGCCGUCUACGUUAAGGAAGGGCUUCACUUGGGGGCCCUAGAUUUACAAACCACGACAUAUUCAAAUUAACCAACUAAUCAUGGUUUGACAGGCAUCAGCUUUCGUGGACACUUUAAUGCUCAUAGAGCAAUUAGAAGUACAGUUUAGCUGCAUGGUUUUGAACAAUUUAAUUAUCUCUAUAGUCUGCAACUAUAUCUUUUUAUGAUCCAAUGGAAUGUAAAGAUAAUAUCGUUAGUGUAAACUUUGGUACUCAUAUAUUUUCCUUCCAUC